rnacentral:lncRNA from 1 species
AAAAAGGAGGAGUGCUUUAAGGCUUAAAGAGGCAGCCCGAGCAUAGGCAGCACUAGAUUUGAAGCUGGAACUUCUGACUCUCAGACCUGACUUUGCCACUAAUGGGCUGUGUGAACUUGGGCAAGCCCCUUGGCAUCUCUGGAUCUCAGAAAGUGAUUUUAACUGGAGGAUAGGCAACUCCCUGGAACUAUAUGCAAAAUCAAGUGCAAGUGUAUUUUUCUAGGGUGGAAGACUGUAUUCGGUGGCUUUUUAAAGAAGCGUGGAACCAGGGACAGGUUAAAAGCAACAGAUGGUCUCUCAGGGCACUUUAAUAAGCAAAAAGGAGGCAACUUCGUGCCUGAGAAAGCCAGGAGGGUACGUUUGCUGGUGCCCUUUACGCUAUGAAGCUUAUUCGGCAGAGGCAGCUCCCUGAAUGACCGAUAGAUGGCGCUAAACCUUCACUGUAACCUGCCUGUUCCUGAGACCUGCCUGGUAGAUCCAUGCUUCUAUUUACUCAGCUUUGGGGACCUUGGGAACCUCAGGAGCUUGGGUCCACACUAUGUGGGUAAGAAUUGAGUGGGAUGAGAGUACUGGGCUACCCCGACACUAUUUGUAUCCUCUGAUUGCCACUCUGUCUUGCGGCAUCUGUUCCCAGAGGCAUCAAAAAGGAUGGGGGAGGGGGGCAGGGGUGUGUGUCUCCAGCCACGGAGAGGACCAGCUGAAAAAUAACGAGCCCUAAGUUUGCUGUUCACAUCUCCUGCACCCUCAACCAAGAUCUGCAUCUUGAAAGCAAUGGCAGGGAGAUGCCAGUGUUUACCAGAGAACUGAUGAAGUGAGCUGGGUCACCUGAAAUGUUUUUAAAGCAAAGUUCCACUAAACUAAACUGCUUUGGCCACCAGUGUGAGAACUCCGAGCAAGAAAAUGGAUUUCAGAACUGGACUGGAGAGUCAUUGAGCCUCUAAGGUCUAACUGUUACAGCGGCUGGCACAAUCCUAACUAAGCAGUGGCCAGAGCAGUUGGGACCAAGAACCAGCAGGACUUGGUGAUGAAUUGACUGUUGUGGAUGAGCAAGCAGGAGGUCAGGAAUCACUUCUAUGUUUUAACCUGAACAACUGUGGAGAUGAAGUUGAUGCUGCCUGAGCUGGAGAAGAUGGAAAAGAGUUUUUAUUUUUGCUUCCUUCCCUUUCUUGGUGAGAGUAAAGAGUUAGAACACAAUGUUUGCAACGUCUGGGAGUCAUCUGAAUGGAGAUGUUAAGUAGAAACUUAGAGAAAAGGAUUCGGAAAAGGUCUGAGCUGGUGACGUAGUUUGGAAGUUGUUGUCUUGUAGACCGUGUUUGAAGUGCACAGUGGGUCCUCCAACAUUCUCUGAAUCAGAACAUGAAUCACUUCUUCUUCACUUCCACUCAGUGUUUGGAAGGCGGGGAGUGCAAAUCAUCCAAAAGUGAUUAAUGACCUCCACCCCAUCCCCUCCCCAGCUCGACGGCAAGCCAAAGAAUCACCGGUUCCUUGCUCUGCUUUCCUAUGCUCAUUGAAGAGUCUCUCUGAGCUCAGAGAAGCUUGAGAAUCAAGCUAUUCAAAGGCUGAAUGAAGGUGAUUCUGAUGAUGCUUAUAACUGCCUUCCUGCUGUGUUGGGUAAAACACUCAUCUUUGAUGCAAUGAAAACCACUUGAAUCUCUGCCUUUUAUUCCCUCAAGCGGCUUCACCUAAUGGGCUGGGGUAUGAAAACAGUGUGAAAAAGCAAGGCUAGGCUUCACCUGCCUCUGGAUGAGGCCAUUUGUCUCUCUCCCUACGGGAUUUUUACUCCAAGAAGUUCUAGAGGGGCAGCUGCAGAGAGAGGGGCUUCUGGGCAGAUGUCAGCUUGGCUAGAAAGAGACCCUUAGAAAAGGUGACAUUUUUACCCGAUGGCCUAUAAUCCCAGGGUAGCAAAAUCAAAUACUGUCACCCUUCGAUAUCCAUGGGGGAUCAGUACUAGGAUCCCCCAGUGAUAACCCAAUCUACAGAUGCUCAAGUCCCUUAUAUAAAAAUGUGUAGGACAGUCAGCCCUUGGUAUCUGCAGGUUCUACAUCCAAGGAUCCCACUAACUGUGGAUGGAAAAAUGCAGAACUGGUGAAUACACAGGAGUGGGACCAGUGGUUGGUUAAACCUGUGGAUGCAGAACUAGACAGAGGGCUGACUGGACCUGCAGGAACCAGCUAGUUAAUGACUCAAAGAAAUGGGUCACAUGGGGACUUGGAAAGCACAGGUCCUGUUGAAAAGGGUGGGCUCAGUGUGGUUCCAGCUGAUUGUUGCCACAUGAAACACAAAUCCAGGAUCACUGGGUCUUCUGGCUUUUCAAGAGAAGCUUCAAAUACAGAUUUUAUACAAAAUCUGAGUUUUAUAUGCUGAAAUUAAUUACAUUUAAACACUGCUCUGUGGGCCAAAGAACACAUACAUGUAUACAUAUGAUGCCUGGGCUUGAGACCAGCUUGAAACCCUCAGGGACUGUGGGAUGGACGUGUGCCUCUUUCCUAAGUAACUGCUCAAGGGGGGAAAUACGUAAUCAUUUUGGAAUUGUCAUUGAACCAGCACGAGCUCAUUGACUCAGCUUCAUGAACCGUGAACCAUAAUUCGUGGUUCUUUUUAUCCCGUCUUUGGUGAGGUAAGCCUUUCAGGUUUUCACCAGGUGAGAAAGAAAGUAAAGAUAAGUGGUGACGGGGAGCAAACUAGACAUUGAGUGGGAGGGCUGUGUGUGUCUUGCUCAGGGCAGAAUCCUUGGGACUGAGCAGGUGCUUAAAAAUAUUGUUGAAGAAAGUAAUGCAGGGAAGGGAAUGGGUGAAUAAAAGCAGAAACAACCACAGAAUCAGGCUUGCAGGUUUCAGAGUGUGGCCUGAUUGUGGCCCAAGCCCCAUAGCUUAGUUCUCCUACUUUUACAUUCUCCUCUAAAGAGGAUGCCCCUAAGAUACUGGUGAAAAGUAUGAUGGUUCUUCCCCUCCUCCCAUCCCUAUUUUUGAAGAUAAUCAGGGAAUCCAGAAGAUAUAUUUGGCUGUCAUUAAAAAGUCUACAAAUAACAAAAGCUGGAGAAGGUGUGGAGAAAAGGGAACCCUCCCUACACUGCUGGAGGGAAUGUAUGUUAGGGCAGCUCUUAUGGAAAACAGUAUGGAGCUUCCUCAGAAAACUAAAUAUAGAACUAUCAUAGGAUCCAGCCAUCCCACUCCUGGGUGUAUAUCUGGACAAAACAACGAUUCAAAGUGAUACAUGCACCUCUAUGUUCAUAGCAGCACUAUUCACAGUAGUCAAGACUUGGAAACAACCUAAAUGUCCACUGAUAGAUGAAUGAAUGAAGAAGAUGUGGUACAGAUACACAAUGGAAUACUACUCAGCCAUAAAAAAGAACAAAAUAAUGCCAUUUGCAGCAACAUGGAUGCAAUUAGAGAUUAUCACACUAAGUAAGAAAGAGAAAGACAAAUGCCACAUGAUAGUACGGAAAAGUGGAAUGAAAAAUAAAUGAACCUAUCUACCUAACAGAAACAGACUCACAGACCUAGAGAACACACUUAUGGUUGCCAAGGGGGAGGAAGGAGGGAAGGAGAUGGACUGGGAGUUUGGGGUUAGUAGAUGCAAACUAUUCCAUUUAGAAUGGAUAAGCAAUGAGGUCCUACUUGUAGCACAGGGAACUAUAUCCAAUCCCCUGGGAUAGACCAUGAUGGAAAAGAAUAUAAAAAAGAAUGUAUAGAUAUGUAUAAACAAGUCACUUUGCUGUGCUGCAGAAAUUAACACAACAUUGUAAAUCAACUAUAAUCAAUUAAAAAAAGGAA